rnacentral:rRNA from 1 species
UGGCAGUAAAAGUCGUAACAAGGUCUCCGUUGGUGAACCAGCGGAGGGAUCAUUACCGAGUUUACAACUCCCAAACCCAAUGUGAACGUUACCAAACUGUUGCCUCGGCGGGGUCACGCCCCGGGUGCGUCGCAGCCCCGGAACCAGGCGCCCGCCGGAGGAACCAACCAAACUCUUUCUGUAGUCCCCUCGCGGACGUAUUUCUUACAGCUCUGAGCAAAAAUUCAAAAUGAAUCAAAACUUUCAACAACGGAUCUCUUGGUUCUGGCAUCGAUGAAGAACGCAGCGAAAUGCGAUAAGUAAUGUGAAUUGCAGAAUUCAGUGAAUCAUCGAAUCUUUGAACGCACAUUGCGCCCGCCAGUAUUCUGGCGGGCAUGCCUGUCCGAGCGUCAUUUCAACCCUCGAACCCCUCCGGGGGAUCGGCGUUGGGGAUCGGGACCCCUCACACGGGUGCCGGCCCCGAAAUACAGUGGCGGUCUCGCCGCAGCCUCUCCUGCGCAGUAGUUUGCACAACUCGCACCGGGAGCGCGGCGCGUCCACGUCCGUAAAACACCCAACUUUCUGAAAUGUUGACCUCGGAUCAGGUAGGAAUACCCGCUGAACUUAAGCAUAUCAAUAAGCGGAGGA